ACCUGUAUGCUAUAUCAAUGUCACCACACUCUUUGGUUAAGAAAAUAACCAACCUAUAUGGCACACAAUGACCUUUACUUGAUAAACAUCAUCAUCCUAUAAUGACAUAUCAUUUGAUCGUGAACAAUUUUAAAAACUAUAUGAUAAAUUCUCUCUUUAUCGUACACUAAUAUAGUUCUAAAGACUUCAUCACAAUACAAGAGUUCAAGAAAGAUAUAAAUUUAUAAUAAAAAAUAUCAAAAUAAUUAUUAUUUAUUAAUCAAUAAUUCAUAUACAAAAAAAAUUCAAUCGUCAUAUAAUUGAUUUUAGG
rnacentral:lncRNA from 1 species